GGAAGUUUAGCUCAGUUGGUUAGAGCACCUGCCUUACAAGCAGGGGGUCACAGGUUCGAGUCCUGUAACUUCCACCA
rnacentral:tRNA from 1 species